UACGGAGGGUGCAAGCGUUAAUCGGAAUUACUGGGCGUAAAGCGCACGCAGGUGGCUGAGUCAGUCGAUUGUGAAAGCCCUGGGCUUAACCUGGGAAUUGCAGUCGAUACUACUCAGCUAGAGUAUGGGAGAGGGCAGUGGAAUUCCCGGUGUAGCGGUGAAAUGCGUAGAUAUCGGGAGGAACAUCAGUGGCGAAGGCGGCUGCCUGGCCCAAUACUGACACUGAGGCGCGAAAGCGUGGGGAGCAAACAGG
rnacentral:rRNA from 1 species